rnacentral:rRNA from 1 species
GACGAACGCUGGCGGCGUGCCUAACACAUGCAAGUCGAGCGGAGUCAGUAAGAGGAAGUUUUCGGAUGGAAUCUUAUUGAUUUAGCGGCGGACGGGUGAGUAACGCGUGAGCGACCAACCUUGCACAGGGGGAUAACGGACCGAAAGGUUCACUAAUACCGCAUGAGACCACGGUGUUGCAUGACACAGGGGUCAAAGGAGCAAUCCGGUGCAAGACGGGCUCGCGUCCGAUUAGGUAGUUGGGGGGGUAAAUGCCCACCAAGCCUAUGAUCGGUAGCCGACCUGAGAGGUUGAUCGGCCACAUUGGAACUGAGAUACGGUCCAAACUCCUACGGGAGGCAGCAGUGGGGAAUAUUGGGCAAUGGGGGAAACCCUGACCCAGCAACGCCGCGUGAAGGAAGAAGGUUUUCGGAUUGUAAACUUCUGUCCUUGGUGAAGAGAAGAAGACGGUAGCCAAGGAGGAAGCCCCGGCUAACUACGUGCCAGCCGCCGCGGUAACAC